UAUAGUGAACAAUCAAUGCUCUAAUCCAUCUUUUAUUCUUUUCUAGGAUGUUACAUACUUUUUGGAUUGUUAAUAACUUUUAUAAUACUCAUAUCAAUGAUUUACUAAUUCUGAGGACUCCAUCAUGGAAUUGGUUAUUGUGGUUUUCCUCAAAUUGUUGUACUGACCGGUGGAAAAUCAAGCAUAGCUGUAAACUCUUAUUUUAUUAAGUUGCUUUAUUUUCUUCUUCUUCUUUUUUUUGUGGUCAUGACUCAAGUAAUACUUUAUUGCAUCUUUUCAUUUUAAGGACAUGGCAUAAUUAGGGGCCUUAGGUGAUGAAAGGAAAAAAAAAAAAAAAAACCUUGGGGAAAAAGAUCAUGGUAUAGUGGGAAGAAUAUAGGCUGGGUGCCAGACAGACAGGUGUGGAUCUCAGCUCUGCCAUUCAGUAAUUUUAGGCUAGGUUUCCAGGUGACUUUCAUCUCUUGGGCUCCUCCAUCUUCAAGAUAUGACUUCUGAGGAUGUCGUGCUCAUUUAUAUAAAUCCAGAAUAAUGAAGAAAACAUAGAAGAAAGUACCAGAAAGAUUUCCAUGGGACUUAUCUGGAAGGGCAAUCCACCAAUCACAAUUCACUGGCUAGAACUCCACCAACAUGGUUACAUCUAACUGCAAGACGAGAUCAGGAAUGGAGUCCAGGUGCAUGCCUCAAAAGAAGGUGACAGUGUUUGAGGAACAGUCACAUCAAGAUGUUAACAAUAUAAAAAGUUAACAUGAGCAAAAUGUAACAAACUAUAUUAUAAAUAAUUGAACAUAUUUAAAUACUA